AAUAGAUACCCUGGUAGUCCACGCCGUAAACGAUGAGUGCUAAGUGUUAGAGGGUUUCCGCCCUUUAGUGCUGCAGCUAACGCAUUAAGCACUCCGCCUGGGGAGUACGGUCGCAAGACUGAAACUCAAAGGAAUUGACGGGGGCCCGCACAAGCGGUGGAACAUGUGGUUUAAUUCGAAGCAACGCGAAGAACCUUACCAGGUCUUGACAUCCCACUGACCGGUAUAGAGAUAUACCUUUCCCUUCGGGGACAGUGGUGACAGGUGGUGCAUGGUUGUCGUCAGCUCGUGUCGUGAGAUGUUGGGUUAAGUCCCGCAACGAGCGCAACCCUUGAUCUUAGUUGCCAGCAUUUAGUUGGGCACUCUAAGGUGACUGCCGGUGACAAACCGGAGGAAGGUGGGGAUGACGUCAAAUCAUCAUGCCCCUUAUGACCUGGGCUACACACGUGCUACAAUGGAUGGUACAAAGGGCUGCAAGACUGCGAAGUCAAGCCAAUCCCAUAAAACCAUUCUCAGUUCGGAUUGCAGG
rnacentral:rRNA from 1 species